rnacentral:rRNA from 1 species
UACGAAGGGGGCUAGCGUUGCUCGGAAUUACUGGGCGUAAAGCGCGCGUAGGCGGGUCGUUAAGUCGGGGGUGAAAUCCUGGAGCUCAAUUCCAGAACUGCCUUCGAUACUGGCGAUCUUGAGUCCGGGAGAGGUGAGUGGAACUCCGAGUGUAGAGGUGAAAUUCGUAGAUAUUCGGAAGAACACCAGUGGCGAAGGCGGCUCACUGGCCCGGUACUGACGCUGAGGUGCGAAAGCGUGGGGAGCAAACAGG